GAGGAUAUAGCUCAGUGGUAGAGUGCCUGCUUAGCAUGCACAAGGUCCUGGAUUCAAUCUCCAGUAUCUCCA
rnacentral:tRNA from 1 species